rnacentral:rRNA from 1 species
UGUCUCAGUACAAGCCAAAUUAGGGUGAAACCGCGAAAGGCUCAUUAAAUCAGUUAUGGUUCCUUAGAUCGUACCCACAUUACUUGGAUAACUGUGGUAAUUCUAGAGCUAAUACAUGCAAACAGAGCUCCGACCGGAGACGGAAGGAGUGCUUUUAUUAGAUCAAAACCAAUCGGUGGCGAGUUGGUGACUCUGAAUAACUUUACGCUGAUCGCACGGUCAUCGCACCG